rnacentral:rRNA from 1 species
AGUGGCAGACGGGUGAGUAACACGUGGGGAUCUGCCCAAUGGUACGGAAUAGCUCUGGGAAACUGGAAAUAAUACCGUAUGAGCCCGCAAGGGGAAAGAUUUAUCGCCAUUGGAUGAACCCGCGUCGGAUUAGCUAGUUGGUGUGGUAAAGGCGCACCAAGGCGACGAUCCGUAGCUGGUCUGAGAGGAUGAUCAGCCACACUGCGACUGAGACACGGCCCAGACUCCUACGGGAGGCAGCAGUGGGGAAUAUUGGACAAUGGGCGCAAGCCUGAUCCAGCCAUGCCGCGUGAGUGAUGAAGGCCUUAGGGUUGUAAAGCUCUUUCGCCGACGAAGAUAAUGACGGUAGUCGGAGAAGAAGCCCCGGCUAACUUCGUGCCAGCAGCCGCGGUAAUACGAAGGGGGCUAGCGUUGUUCGGAAUCACUGGGCGUAAAGCGCACGUAGGCGGAUAUUUAAGUCAGGGGUGAAAGCCUGGAGCUCAACUCCAGAACUGCCCUUGAUACUGGGUAUCUCGAGUCCGGAAGAGGUAAGUGGAACUGCGGGUGUAGAGGUGAAAUUCGUAGAUAUUCGCAAGAACACCAGUGGCGAAGGCGGCUUACUGGUCCGGUACUGACGCUGAGGUGCGAAAGCGUGGGGAGCAAACAGGAUUAGAUACCCUGGUAGUCCACGCCGUAAACGAUGGAGGCUAGCCGUUGGUGA